GACGAACGCUGGCGGCGUGCCUAAUACAUGCAAGUCGAACGCAGUGGGGACGGGUGAGUAACACGUGGGUAACCUCCCAUCAGAGGGGAUAACACUUGGAAACAUGUGCUAAACCGAUACUGAUGGAUGGACCCGCGGUGCCUUAGCUAGUUGGGGGGGUAACGGCUCACCAAGGCCACGAUGAAUAGCCUAGCUGAGAGGGUGAACAGCCACACUGGAACUGAGACAAGGUCCAGACUCCUACGGGAGGCAGCAGUGGGGAAUAUUGGACAAUGGGCGCAAGCCUGAUACAGCCAGGCCGCGUGUAUGAAGAAGGCCUUCGGGUUGUAAAGUACUUUCAGCGGGGAGGCGUUACCCGCAGAAGAAGCACCGGCUAACUCCGUGCCAGCAGCCGCGGUAAUAC
rnacentral:rRNA from 1 species